rnacentral:rRNA from 1 species
UACGUAGGGUGCGAGCGUUAAUCGGAAUUACUGGGCGUAAAGCGUGCGCAGGCGGUUUUGUAAGACAGGCGUGAAAUCCCCGGGCUCAACCUGGGAAUUGCGCUUGUGACUGCAAAGCUGGAGUGCGGCAGAGGGGGAUGGAAUUCCGCGUGUAGCAGUGAAAUGCGUGGAUAUGCGGAGGAACACCGAUGGCGAAGGCAAUCCCCUGGGCCUGCACUGACGCUCAUGCACGAAAGCGUGGGGAGCAAACAGG